rnacentral:rRNA from 1 species
GUUUAAUUCGAUGCAACGCGAAGAACCUUACCUACUCUUGACAUCCACAGAAUUCGGCAGAGAUGCCUUAGUGCCUUCGGGAACUGUGAGACAGGUGCUGCAUGGCUGUCGUCAGCUCGUGUUGUGAAAUGUUGGGUUAAGUCCCGCAACGAGCGCAACCCUUAUCCUUUGUUGCCAGCGGUUCGGCCGGGAACUCAAAGGAGACUGCCAGUGAUAAACUGGAGGAAGGUGGGGAUGACGUCAAGUCAUCAUGGCCCUUACGAGUAGGGCUACACACGUGCUACAAUGGCGCAUACAAAGAGAAGCGACCUCGCGAGAGCAAGCGGACCUCAUAAAGUGCGUCGUAGUCCGGAUCGGAGUCUGCAACUCGACUCCGUGAAGUCGGAAUCGCUAGUAAUCGUAGAUCAGAAUGCUACGGUGAAUACGUUCCCGGGCCUUGUACACACCGCC